CACAUUUCUGUUCCUACACUGCUCUGCCCAGCAGUAUUUUUUUUUUAUCAUUCUAAGUCAUUUGCUGAAUCUAGAGGACAGCAUGAAGCUGUUCGCCACCUUUCUCCUUGUGGGCCUUCUAGCUCUUUGGAUGGGAUUCCCCUCCACAACCGGGAGCCACCUCCCAACAGAAGGUCCAGUUAAGCAGAAGCCAGGAGUGUGUCCAAUCGAUAUCUGUGAUUGCUCUGGACCUCAGCCUAAUGAAUGCCGGACAGAUUAUGGUUGUAAAAAAAAAAAGAAAUGUUGUGACUAUUGUUGUGCAAUGCGCUGUGUGGACCCAGCAUAAGAAACUCCAGGAUUCAGGUUUUCCCAUUGAUGAAAGUGGUUUGGCAACUCCAUGUAAACCUCCAGCAUCUUCUGAUCCCUUCAUCAGCUUCAGAAAUGUUUCUUGAUCAAGAGAUGAAAACAGCAAGAUACUUGCUAUUUCAGGUUAUUUCAAAGAACAUUUUUCCUUCCUUCCUUCCUUCCUUCCUUCCUUCCUUCCUUCCUUCCUUCCUCCCUCCCUCCCUCCCUCCCUUCCUUCCUUCCUUCCUUCCUUCCUUCUUUCCUUCCUUCCUUCGCGUGGGCACAGCUUAUUAUAAUGAUAAUGAAAUAUUAUGAAAAAUGAAGAAAGAUGAUUCAUUGUAAUAGAAAUUAUUGUUUCUCUGUCAUAAAUAAAAUAGCAUCUCAAAUUUCACCUUUCAGUUCUUUAUUAACCUACAGAAUAUAUCUUGGUAAUCUCUACUAAACAAAAUUUAAUUACAGUAUAUCCCCUAAAAAGACAACCUUUCCAUGGCCGAAUAGAUUCGAUUAAACUGUGAGUUUAGUUUCGUAUUUUUGUAUCACCAAGAAGGAAAAAUUGAGAACUUUACAGGUCACAUGGUUAACAGAAACCUUGAAGUUUAAUGUUACUAUUGUUUAACCUGUUAACUAUUCUUUCUCAUAUAUAAUGUAUGACAAGUCAAAUUAGGUUUCAAAUAGAUGUAGAAGUCUAUAAAUUUUGGACUUUUUUUACAAAAAGGGAUGAUUUUUUUUUGCAGUAUAUCUGCCAAUGUUCAGCUGAGUGGAUAAUACGUGUUUUUAGGUUUUUUUACCUUUUAAUUCACAUUUUUAAUGUUCUUGUCCUGUUUUGUUUUGUUGCAUUUUUUUUGGAUUUUGUAUUUUAAUCUUUUAAAUAAAAUAAAAAUUAAAAAGCUCACAUAUUAAGUAGACACCUACAAUGUCAUGCCCUCAAAUAGUAAUUUUCAUAGGAGCCCAGAACCAUAUUAGGAUUGAUAGUAUCAAAAGUCCCCAAGAGAUCUAAUAAGACAAGGGAAGCUGCACUUCCACCCCUUGCUUUAGUUUGAACCAUGAUUGAAAGGACUUUAACUCAUUCAUUUCCAUCCUCCUUUCAAUCACCUCUUCACGAGUUAAUCCUAUUUCUCUUUGAAGGAAAUGAAUAGUAAGUUACUCUUGUAUGAAGUGUAAUGUAUUAAAAAACUAUGAUGUUCUUACUGUUGUAAAAUGACCACAAAUUCAGUGAAAUUUGUGAAAUCAUAUUCAGUGAAACAGUAUGUGAUGACUUGCUAAAAAUCUUUCUUUGGAGACUGGAACAUACAUCCAAGGCAAGGCUUGGAUGGGAACAUUCACCCAGGAGGAAGCUACUAGUAAACAAGAUAAGAUAUCUGUUUCUCCAAAGAAAUUGUCAUGAUGACCCUUUAGAGAAUGAAAUGACUUAAAGAAAUGACUUAGUAGAAUAAAGUAGAAUAAAGUAUUCUUAGUAGAAUAAAGGGUUUAGGGGGGAGUUUCUUAGGUGUGGCGUGCAUUGUGUAGGAGUAUAAAAUGUGUAGCUUGAAAACUGCUUCUUGUGUUUGUUGAACUCCAUCCAUUUGGGAAGGGUCUAAGAGGCCACGCUUGCAACCGCUUUUUU